rnacentral:rRNA from 1 species
ACAGCAGUCGCCGCGGUAAUACGUAGGGUGCGAGCGUUGUCCGGAAUUACUGGGCGUAAAGAGCUCGUAGGCGGUUUGUCGCGUCGUCUGUGAAAUUCUGCAGCUUAACUGUAGGCGUGCAGGCGAUACGGGCAGACUUGAGUACUACAGGGGAGACUGGAAUUCCUGGUGUAGCGGUGAAAUGCGCAGAUAUCAGGAGGAACACCGGUGGCGAAGGCGGGUCUCUGGGUAGUAACUGACGCUGAGGCACGAAAGCAUGGGGAGCAAACAGGAUUAGAUACCCCCGUAGUCCCUGUCUCUUAUAC